rnacentral:rRNA from 1 species
GAUGAACGCUAGCGGCAGGCCUAAUACAUGCAAGUCGAGGGGUAAAUAUGUAGCAAUAUAUAUGAGACCGGCGCACGGGUGCGUAACACGUAUGCAACCUACCUUUUACUGGGGAAUAGCUCAGAGAAAUCUGAAUUAAUACCCCAUAAUAUUAUGAAAUGGCAUCAUUUUAUAAUUAAAGCUCCGGCGGUAAAAGAUGGGCAUGCGGAACAUUAGCUAGUUGGUGAGGUAAUGGCUCACCAAGGCUACGAUGUUUAGGGGGUCUGAGAGGAUGAUCCCCCACACUGGUACUGAGACACGGACCAGACUCCUACGGGAGGCAGCAGUAGGGAAUAUUGGGCAAUGGACGAAAGUCUGACCCAGCCAUGCCGCGUGCAGGAUGACUGUCCUAUGGAUUGUAAACUGCUUUUUAUAUGGGAAGAAACCCUUGGAUGCGUCCGAGGCUGACGGUACCAUAUGAAUAAGGAUCGGCUAACUUCGUG